rnacentral:rRNA from 1 species
CCUACGGGGGGCUGCAGUGGGGAAUAUUGGACAAUGGGGGAAACCCUGAUCCAGCAAUGCCGCGUGUGUGAAGAAGGCCUGCGGGUUGUAAAGCACUUUCGGUUGGGAAGAAAAGUUUGGCGCCAAUACCGCCGAACCUUGACGUUACUGACAGAAGAAGCACCGGCUAACUCUGUGCCAGCAGCCGCGGUAAUACAGAGGGUGCAAGCGUUGCGUGGAAUGUGUGGGGGUAAAGCGGCAAUAGGGGGGUGAAAUCCCCGAGCUUAACCUGGGAACUGCAUUCGAUACUACAUGGCUAGAGUAUGGUAGAGGGAAGUGGAAUUUCCGGUGUAGCGGUGAAAUGCGUAGAUAUCGGAAGGAACACCAAUGGCGAAGGCAGCUUCCUGGACUAAUACUGACACUGAGGCACGAAAGCGUGGGUAGCAAACAGGAUUAGAUACCCUGGUAGUC